rnacentral:rRNA from 1 species
AUUGAACGCUGGCGGCAUGCUUUACACAUGCAAGUCGAACGGUAACAGGCCGCAAGGUGCUGACGAGUGGCGAACGGGUGAGUAAUGCAUCGGAACGUGCCCAGCCGUGGGGGAUAACUACUCGAAAGAGUAGCUAAUACCGCAUACGAUCUAUGGAUGAAAGCGGGGGACCGUAAGGCCUCGCGCGAUUGGAGCGGCCGAUGUCAGAUUAGGUAGUUGGUGGGGUAAAGGCUCACCAAGCCAACGAUCUGUAGCUGGUCUGAGAGGACGACCAGCCACACUGGGACUGAGACACGGCCCAGACUCCUACGGGAGGCAGCAGUGGGGAAUUUUGGACAAUGGGCGCAAGCCUGAUCCAGCAAUGCCGCGUGCAGGAAGAAGGCCUUCGGGUUGUAAACUGCUUUUGUACGGAACGAAACGGCUCUGGUUAAUACCCGGGGCUAAUGACGGUACCGUAAGAAUAAGCACCGGCUAACUACGUG